UAAGACAGAGGUGGCGAGCGUUGUUCGGAUUUAUUGGGCGUAAAGCGUACGCAGGCGGUUUGGUAAGUCAGAGGUGAAAGCCCACAGCUUAACUGUGGCACUGCCUUUGAUACUGCCUUUCUAGAGUGCAUGAGGGGGAAGCGGAAUUCCGAGUGUAGAGGUGAAAUUCGUAGAUAUUCGGAGGAACACCGGUGGCGAAGGCGGCUUCCUGGCAUGUAACUGACGCUCAUGUACGAAAGCGUGGGGAGCAAACAGGAUUAGAUACCCUGGUAGUCCACGCCCUAAACGAUGGGCACUAGGUGUGGGAGGUAUCGACCCCUUCCGUGCCGCAGCUAACGCAUUAAGUGCCCCGCCUGGGGAGUACGGCCGCAAGGUUGAAACUUAAAGGAAUUGACGG
rnacentral:rRNA from 1 species